AGAGUUUGAUCCUGGCUCAGGACGAACGCUGGCGGCGUGCUUAACACAUGCAAGUCGAACGAUGAAGCCCUUCGGGGUGGAUUAGUGGCGAACGGGUGAGUAACACGUGGGCAAUCUGCCCUUCACUCUGGGACAAGCCCUGGAAACGGGGUCUAAUACCGGAUAACACUCUGUCCCGCAUGGGACGGGGUUAAAAGCUCCGGCGGUGAAGGAUGAGCCCGCGGCCUAUCAGCUUGUUGGUGGGGUGAUGGCCUACCAAGGCGACGACGGGUAGCCGGCCUGAGAGGGCGACCGGCCACACUGGGACUGAGACACGGCCCAGACUCCUACGGGAGGCAGCAGUGGGGAAUAUUGCACAAUGGGCGAAAGCCUGAUGCAGCGACGCCGCGUGAGGGAUGACGGCCUUCGGGUUGUAAACCUCUUUCAGCAGGGAAGAAGCGAAAGUGACGGUACCUGCAGAAGAAGCGCCGGCUAACUACGUGCCAGCAGCCGCGGUAAUACGUAGGGCGCAAGCGUUGUCCGGAAUUAUUGGGCGUAAAGAGCUCGUAGGCGGCUUGUUGCGUCGGUUGUGAAAGCCCGGGGCUUAACCCCGGGUCUGCAGUCGAUACGGGCAGGCUAGAGUGUGGUAGGGGAGAUCGGAAUUCCUGGUGUAGCGGUGAAAUGCGCAGAUAUCAGGAGGAACACCGGUGGCGAAGGCGGAUCUCUGGGCCAUUACUGACGCUGAGGAGCGAAAGCGUGGGGAGCGAACAGGAUUAGAUACCCUGGUAGUCCACGCCGUAAACGUUGGGAACUAGGUGUUGGCGACAUUCCACGUCGUCGGUGCCGCAGCUAACGCAUAAGUUCCCCGCCUGGGGAGUACGGCCGCAAGGCUAAAACUCAAAGGAAUUGACGG
rnacentral:rRNA from 1 species